rnacentral:rRNA from 1 species
AUACGGAGGAUGCGAGCGUUAUCCGGAUUUAUUGGGUUUAAAGGGAGCGUAGGUGGAUAGUUAAGUCAGUUGUGAAAGUUUGCGGCUCAACCGUAAAAUUGCAGUUGAUACUGGCUGUCUUGAGUACAGUAGAGGUGGGCGGAAUUCGUGGUGUAGCGGUGAAAUGCUUAGAUAUCACGAAGAACUCCGAUUGCGAAGGCAGCUCACUGGACUGCAACUGACACUGAUGCUCGAAAGUGUGGGUAUCAAACAGGAUUAGAUACCCUGGUAGUCCACACAGUAAACGAUGAAUACUCGCUGUUUGCGAUAUACAGUAAGCGGCCAAGCGAAAGCAUUAAGUAUUCCACCUGGGGAGUACGCCGGCAACGGUGAAACUCAAAUGAAUUGGCGGGG